rnacentral:rRNA from 1 species
UACGUAGGGUGCAAGCGUUGUCCGGAAUUAUUGGGCGUAAAGAGCUCGUAGGCGGUCUGUCGCGUCUGCCGUGAAAGCCCAUGGCUUAACUGUGGGUCUGCGGUGGAUACGGGCAGGCUGGAGGCUGGUAGGGGCAAGCGGAAUUCCUGGUGUAGCGGUGAAAUGCGCAGAUAUCAGGAGGAACACCGGUGGCGAAGGCGGCUUGCUGGGCCAGUUCUGACGCUGAGGAGCGAAAGCGUGGGGAGCGAACAGG